UUGAACGCUGGCGGCAUGCCUAACACAUGCAAGUCGAACGGCAGCACAGUGUGUAGCAAUACACAUGGGUGGCGAGUGGCGGACGGGUGAGGAAUACAUAGGAAUCUGCCUUGUAGCGGGGGAUAGUCCGGGGAAACUCGGGGUAAUACCGCAUACGACCUACGGGUGAAAGAGGGGGAUCGCAAGACCUCUCACUAUAAGAUGAGCCUAUGUCCGAUUAGCUAGUUGGUGGGGUAAAGGCCUACCAAGGCGACGAUCGGUAGCUGGUCUGAGAGGACGACCAGCCACAUCGGAACUGAGACACGGUCCGAACUCCUACGGGAGGCAGCAGUGGGGAAUAUUGGACAAUGGGCGAAAGCCUGAUCCAGCAAUGCCGCGUGUGUGAAGAAGGGCCUUCGGGUUGU
rnacentral:rRNA from 1 species